GUGGGGAGCUCCGCGGCUCUGACCCCUUAACCCCGGGAUUAAGGAACCUAGGGCCGGGGCCCCGGGUACCAGGACGUGACUCUCUCCUCGGUUUAUCAGCAUCCUUCAGGGUGCCCUGGGACGCAGCGGUUGGUCCAGUUUUGUUGAGGGAACGCUUAGGUCCUGCUGGGGGCAGUGCAAAUUAUAUAAGCUUUGAAUCCCACAAGAUCGGGAUCCAUUCCUACCAAGCUCACUGCCUGCCUACCCUGCCAUGAUUCCUUGAUUUCUUGGAAGCAACCAUUUCCUACAGCUACAGUGGUUAAGAAUUCGCCGCCAAUGCAGGGGACACGGGUUCGAGCCCUGGUCCAGGAGGAUCCAACGUGCCACGGAGGAACUAAGACUGUGCCCACAACUACUGAGCCUGGACUCUAGAGCCCACGAGCCACAACUACUGAAGCCUGCGCGCCUAGAGCCCGA